GGAGAUGCAAGAGACACGUGUUUGAUCCCUGGGUUUGAUCCCUGGGUCAGGAAGAUCCCCUGGAGAAGGGAAUGACUACACACUACAGUAUUCUUGCCUGGGAAAUCUCAUGGAUGGAGGAACCAGAAUAUCCGGCUUAAUUAUGGGAACCUACACCCUGAGAAUGACACGGAUAACAGAAAGCAAGUAUAGAAGAGUCUAGAAACCUUACGCGUUGUGAGAAAUCGUGGAGAGGACUGGUGACGCAGCAGGUGGAGCAAAUGGUAAAGAAUCUACCUAGCAAUGCAGGAGAUGCAAGAGAUGUGGGUCCAGUCCCUGGAUCGGGAAGAUCUCCUGGAGAAGGAAAUGGCAACCCACUCCAGUAAUCUUGCCUGGGAAAUCUGAGAGACAAUGGAACACGGUGGACUACAGUCCGUGGGGUUGCAAGAGUCAGACAUGACUUAGCGACUAAAACACCAUUAUACCUCAAUAAAAC
ensembl:lncRNA